rnacentral:rRNA from 1 species
UACGUAGGGGGCUAGCGUUGUCCGGAAUCAUUGGGCGUAAAGAGCGCGUAGGCGGCCAGAUAAGUCCGGUGUGAAAGUCACAGGCUCAACCUGUGAAUGCCGCUGGAAACUGUCUGGCUAGAGUCCGGGAGGGGCGAGUGGAAUUCCUGGUGUAGCGGUGAAAUGCGCAGAUAUCAGGAGGAACACCAAUGGCGAAGGCGGUUGCCUGGAGCUUUGCUGACGCUGAUGCGCGAAAGCGUGGGGAGCGAUCCGG